UACAGAGGGUGCAAGCGUUGUUCGGAAUUAUUGGGCGUAAAGCGCGUGUAGGCGGCUUUGCAAGUCGGGUGUGAAAGCCCUCAGCUCAACUGAGGAAGUGCGCCCGAAACUGCAGAGCUUGAGUACCGGAGAGGGUGGCGGAAUUCCCCAAGUAGAGGUGAAAUUCGUAGAUAUUGGGAGGAACACCGGUGGCGAAGGCGGCCACC
rnacentral:rRNA from 1 species